rnacentral:rRNA from 1 species
GCAAGUCGAGCGAGCUUGCCUAUAGAAGUUCUUCGGAAUGGAAAUAGAUACAAGCUAGCGGCGGAUGGGUGAGUAAACGCGUGGGUAACCCUGCCUUAAGGUCUGGGGAUACCAUUUGGAAACAGAUGCUAAUACCGGAUAAAAGCUACUUUCGCAUGAAAGAAGUUUAAAAGGCGGCGUAAAGCUGUCGCUAAAGGGAUGGGACCUGCGAUGCAUUAGCUAGUUGGUAAGGUAACGGCUUACCAAGGCGAUGAUGCAUAGCCCGAGUUGAGAGACUGAUCGGGCCACAUUGGGGACUGAGACACGGGCCCAAAACUCCUACGGGGAGGCAGCAGUAGGGAAUCUUCCACAAUGGACGAAAGUCUGAUGGAGCAACGCCGCGUGAGUGAAGAAGGUUUUCGGAUCGUAAAAGCUCUGUUGUUGGUGAAGAAGGAUAGAGGUAGUAACUGGCCUUUAUUUGACGGUAAUCAACCAGAAAGUCACGGCUAACUACGUGCCAGCAGCCGCGGUAAU